rnacentral:rRNA from 1 species
GAUGAACGCUAGCUACAGGCUUAACACAUGCAAGUCGAGGGGCAGCAUUUCGCUAGCAAUAGUGAAGAUGGCGACCGGCGCACGGGUGAGUAACACGUAUCCAACCUGCCGAUAACUCGGGGAUAGCCUUUCGAAAGAAAGAUUAAUAUCCGAUGGUAUAUUAAAACCGCAUGGUUUUACUAUUAAAGAAUUUCGGUUAUCGAUGGGGAUGCGUUCCAUUAGUUUGUUGGCGGGGUAACGGCCCACCAAGACUACGAUGGAUAGGGGUUCUGAGAGGAAGGUCCCCCACAUUGGAACUGAGACACGGUCCAAACUCCUACGGGAGGCAGCAGUGAGGAAUAUUGGUCAAUGGGCGAGAGCCUGAACCAGCCAAGUAGCGUGCAGGAUGACGGCCCUAUGGGUUGUAAACUGCUUUUAUAAGGGAUAAAGUGAGUCUCGUGAGACUUUUUGCAUGUACCUUAUGAAUAAGGACCGGCUAAUUCCGUG